rnacentral:rRNA from 1 species
AUGGUUCGUUCCGGUGCGCGUGCUUCCCAGCGUGUUCUCUCCACGUUGUGGGAUUCCUCUUCCUCGGUUGGUGCUGUUGAUGGGAGGUUUCUUGCCGAAGAUUUGGGUGCUAAUGAGGCGCGGCGACGACACCAGGCACGGCAAGAUAUCCGUCGUGGGAAGCGUCCUGUUGAUUCAUCAUCUCUUGGAAGGAACGUUCGGCCUGUACUUGAAGAACUGGUUGAUCCUUGUCUUGUUGCUGUUAGAGCUGCAUCUGAUGUGGAAGUUUUGUAUCAUCCCUAUUUUACUGCUGGUUGGUUGUCUGGUUCCUCGCGUACAUACCUGGUCAUGUCCAACCCACACGCCAGCACGCUCUCGCUCAGCCCAGGCCAGACCUGUCUACCUUGCCGCGCCCAUGUUACACUGAUGUACUUGUGCCUACCCACAUCUGUAGCUGCCUGA